rnacentral:lncRNA from 1 species
GUUGCUGGACAAAUACCCCAGCACCCCUAUUUAUAGGCUAUCCACCUCCUCAAUGUGUGGUGGAAAUGCCUUCUCAAAUAUGUGGCCAGAAUUCUCCUUCCAGAACUUUCAGGGACUAAACGGUAAUUUUACACCCCUGGGAGAAUUCUGGAUUCUGCUGGCCAACCAAUAUGUGGGCCCCAGCUGCUGGUGGGAAAUCUGCUGCCCUUGCAGAUUUCUGGAAGCUUUUGGGCUGUUCCAGCCUGUUCUGGGAGCCACUGGCCCAUUCUGGGCGCCUUCUGGAAUUUUCGUAGGCCAACCAGACUCCCCUGGAAUUUUCGUUGGCCAACCAGAACCUCCUGGCAGCUUCCCGCGCGCCCCAGCUGCUUCUGGAAGCUUCGGGCGCCUUCCAGCCCGUUCCGCCAAUUGACCCUCGUCUGGCACAGAUCCGUAGGCCAACCAGUCUUCCGUAGGCCAACCGUAUCCGCAGGCCAACCAGCUCCGUAGGCCAACCGUAUCCGUAGGCCAACCAGCUCCGUAGGCCAACCGUAUCCGUAGGCCAACCACGCCCCGCUGGCCAACCACGCCCGCUGGCCAACCACGAAUCUGCCAAUUGCCCGUUGGCCAGCCAACUGCCUGCCCCGCAGCUGCUGCCACCAAUCGCCCCUUGGCACUCCAUAGGGCUGUCCCACCAUUCUUCCUUCACAAAAUUCUUUGGAUUUUAGGGAGGCAUGAGAAGAGUCGUGACAUUCUCCCCCAGCUAUUCCCGCGACGCCCUCGUCGCGUCUCCACGAAGUCGCACCUUCGACCUCCAUGGUCUACUCUCCCAUGGUGCAGAUGGAGAACGUCCCUUAGACUUUACCUCCCUUGGAGAAUCAACAUCCACUCUAUGAUUCUCCACACAAGUCUUCACAAACCAUUUGACAUCCAUCACCAUGUGAUGCCAAAAGAACUCACGUCCAAGCAUUGCCAUCAUCUUUCUCACACUUGGACGGCCACGAAUCAUGAAGUCAUGACACCACCUCAUGACCUCCUCUCGUAACUUGCCCCAUCUAGGCACAAAGAUGCUGCCACGCCUCGUCUUAAUGAGCCCACCAUCAACCACGAACUUCCUUGUUACCCCAUCGCAAGCCAACCUUACCAGUUGCUUGGCUUGCCCAUCACGCAUCGUUGCCUCCUUGAUGCGCCUCAACAAGGAAGACUUUGGACCCAUCGCGUCGACAGUCAUCCUCCCCAUCAUCCUAUCCAUCUCCGCCCUUAGGAAAUGGUUCUCCUCCUUGAUGGCAGCAUUCUCCUCGGAAUGGGCAUGCCUAAGUGUCCCCAUCUCACUCGCUAGUUUGUCGACGGCAGAGUCGAGGGCACCUUGCAUCUCCUCACGGAACUCUUCCAUCCCAUUGCCAAGUUCCUCGAUGCGGGUGUCUACCUCCUCGAACUUCUCUUCCUCCUCGAUCAAGACUAGCUCCACCUUCGCAAGACGGGUCUCCAAAUCACCGAGCUCCUCCCUAGCUCGUGUAGGCUCCCUCGAUUUGCCCCUUCCUUUCCUUUUGCCGCCAGCAUGCUCCUCCACCAUUGGAGCAACUCCCCCAGCAAUCACCUCGCUUGGAUCAGACAUCUUUCCUCCAAUCAAGCAAACCAACGCUCUGAUACCACUUGUCACGGGCUUAAUGAUUCCAACCCCAAAAAUCGCUUAAGCCGUGCGGCACUCAGCUCAGUCCGUCGAGCUAAGUCAGCCUAACCUCACUAUCACGCAGCGGAAAGUAAUUUGAAGGGUUGUGAAGAGCUCGGCCAGCUUCUUGUGGGAUGAAGGAAGCUAAACUAGCUAAACUAGCUAGAAGGGAAGAGAAUUGGGGAAAAUGGCUUUUAUAUUACACUUGGGAAAAUUUACAAGGCAAGUAUACAAGAAAGCUCACAAAUACACCACAAAGUGUGUACAAGGUGUCCCAAAGGCUCUUUAGAUGUAGGAGGCUUCUACUCUCUAAGUUCUUCUUAAGUUUCUUCAGUUGCUGGACAAAUACCCCAGCACCCCUAUUUAUAGGCUAUCCACCUCCUCAAUGUGUGGUGAAAAUGCCUUCUCAAAUAUGUGGCCAGAAUUCUCCUUCCAGAACUUUCAGGGACUAAACGGUAAUUUUAUACCCCUGGGAGAAUUCUGGAUUCUGCUGACCAACCAAUAUGUGGGCCCCAGUUGCUGGUGGGAAAUCUGUUGCCCCUGCAGAUUUCUGGAAGCUUCUGGGCUGUUCCAGCCUGUUCUGGGCGCCACUGGCCCGUUCUGGGCGCCUUCUGGAAUUUUCGUAGGCCAACCAGACUCCCCUGGAAUUUUCGUUGGCCAACCAGAACCUCCUGGCAGCUUCCCGCGCGCCCCAGCUGCUUCUGGAAGCUUCGGGCGCCUUCCAGCCCGUUCCGCCAAUUGACCCUCGUCUGGCACAGAUCCGUAGGCCAACCAGUCUUCCGUAGGCCAACCGUAUCCGUAGGCCAACCAGCUCCUUAGGCCAACCGUAUCCGUAGGCCAACCAGCUCCGUAGGCCAACCGUAUCCGUAGGCCAACCACGCCCCGCUGGCCAACCACGCCCGCUGGCCAACCACGAAUCUGCCAAUUGCCCAUUGGCCAGCCAACUGCCUGCCCCGCAGCUGCUGCCACCAAUCGCCCCUUGGCACUCCAUAGGGCUGUCCCACCAUUCUUCCUUCACAAAAUUCUUUGGAUUUUAGGGAGGCAUGAGAAGAGUCGUGACAC